GAUGAACGCUGGCGGCGUGCUUAACACAUGCAAGUCGAACGGAAAGGCUCCUGCUUGCAGGGGUACUCGAGUGGCGAACGGGUGAGUAACACGUGGGUGAUCUGCCCUGCACUUCGGGAUAAGCCUGGGAAACUGGGUCUAAUACCGGAUAGGACCACAUUUUGGAUGGUGUGGUGGAAAGUUUUUCGGUGUGGGAUGAGCUCGCGGCCUAUCAGCUUGUUGGUGGGGUAAUGGCCUACCAAGGCGUCGACGGGUAGCCGGCCUGAGAGGGUGUACGGCCACAUUGGGACUGAGAUACGGCCCAGACUCCUACGGGAGGCAGCAGUGGGGAAUAUUGCACAAUGGGAGCAAGCCUGAUGCAGAGACGCCGCGUGGGGGAUGACGGCCUUCGGGUUGUAAACUCCUUUCGCUAGGGACGAAGCGCAAGUGACGGUACCUGGAGAAGAAGCACCGGCUAACUACGUG
rnacentral:rRNA from 1 species